rnacentral:rRNA from 1 species
GACGAACGCUGGCGGCGUGCCUAAUACAUGCAAGUAGAACGCUGAAGCGAGGAGCUUGCUCUUCUUGGAUGAGUUGCGAACGGGUGAGUAACGCGUAGGUAACCUGCCUUGUAGCGGGGGAUAACUAUUGGAAACGAUAGCUAAUACCGCAUAACAAUGGAUGACACGUGUCAUUUAUUUGAAAGGGGCAAUUGCUCCACUACAAGAUGGACCUGCGUUGUAUUAGCUAGUAGGUGAGGUAAUGGCUCACCUAGGCGACGAUACAUAGCCGACCUGAGAGGGUGAUCGGCCACACUGGGACUGAGACACGGCCCAGACUCCUACGGGAGGCAGCAGUAGGGAAUCUUCGGCAAUGGGGGCAACCCUGACCGAGCAACGCCGCGUGAGUGAAGAAGGUUUUCGGAUCGUAAAGCUCUGUUGUAAGUCAAGAACGGGUGUGAGAGUGGAAAGUUCACACUGUGACGGUAGCUUACCAGAAAGGGACGGCUAACUACGUG